CAACACAUACACAAACCACACAUGGGACAGAACCCACAUAACAACAAUGGAGGACAUCGAUGCGAUGGUAUUCGUGCUGCUCGGUCUGGUGCUUUUUGUCAGACACAAAAGAGAAGAGAGUCAGAGAAGGCUGCACGCGGCGAGACAAAACACACUGGAAAAGUCCCGGAGGGUGUUGGAGUAUAUACAACAGUGUGAAGCCGAAGAUGAGAGGAAUCAAGCCUCCAAGAAAAGACGCAUCCAGAUGCUACUCUCGUCACAACAUUUCCGCCGCAAACCGUCGGCCUGGGCGCACAACCGAUCCUAGGAAUGUGGAUGUGAUUGUUCCCGGCUUCACAAACGAGCAGUGGGUGGAGAACUUCAGGAUGUCUGAAGAAACGUUGGCUUCUUGUCCAACAAACUGCGUCCAGUUUUGGAGCGGCAAGACACCAAUUUCCGCGGAUGUGUGCCCCUGAAGAAGAGAGUGGCCAUUGCACUGUGGAGGCUCGCUACUGGCUCUGAGCAUAGGAGUAUCGGACCUCUUUUUGGAGUCAGCAUCACAACUGUGUGCAGGAUUUUUUUGCUCCAGCAGAGACAUUGUUGGUCGCCGGAACAAAUCCGUUUUCCAGACGAGGUGAAGUUCCGCGAAAUGGCUACCUACAUUGAGAACAGGUGGGGGCUCCCACACUGUGUUGGUGCUAUCGAUUGGAUCCCACAUACCAAUCCUUGCACCACAGUACUAUCACUGUGACUUCUUCAGCCGUAAAGGCUGGCACUCCAUCCUCCUUCAAGGUGUCGUCGAUGGAAAGGGGCUGUUUUGGAAGGUGUUUGCUGGACUGGCAGGGAGCAUGCAUGAUGUCCGAGUUGGAUGUACAACCAGCAGAGCUUGGGGUGGCAGUGGCACAGGAUGUAGAGGGCAUCAAUGUACGGGAAGGUCUAAUCUAAUGCAGUUCUUGUUGGCGAAUAAUUAACAUGUUAGAAUACAUUUUGAAUUUGCCAUGCAGGUAUACACUUCACAUGUUGUAUGUUAUUGUGAGAACAUUAAACUUUUGUACUUUUCA